GUUGAAUCCUGGUCGACUGCGGGGGUAAUGCUGGGGGUGGAAGCGUUACUCUGAAGCACUGUGCGUAAAGAGCAUGUAGGCGGAUUAAUAAGUUUGAAGUGAAAUACUAUAGCUUAACUAUAGAACUGCUUUGAAAACUGUUAAUCUAGUAUGUGGGAGAGGUAGAUGGAAUUUCUGGUGUAGGGGUAAAAUCCGUAGAGAUCAGAAGGAAUACCGAUUGCGAAGGCGAUCUACUGGAACAUUAUUGACGCUGAGAUGCGAAAGCGUGGGGAGCAAACAGGAUUAGAUACCCUGGUAGUC
rnacentral:rRNA from 1 species